rnacentral:rRNA from 1 species
UACGUAGGGGGCAAGCGUUAUCCGGAUUUACUGGGUGUAAAGGGAGCGUAGACGGCGAUGCAAGCCAGAUGUGAAAGCCCGGGGCUCAACCCCGGGACUGCAUUUGGAACUGUAUAGCUAGAGUGUCGGAGAGGCAGGCGGAAUUCCUAGUGUAGCGGUGAAAUGCGUAGAUAUUAGGAGGAACACCAGUGGCGAAGGCGGCCUGCUGGACGAUAACUGACGUUGAGGCUCGAAAGCGUGGGGAGCAAACAGG